GGUGGCUCAAUGGUAGAGUGCUUGCCUUGCAUGCAUGAGGACCUGGGUUCCAUUCCUCAGCACCA
rnacentral:tRNA from 1 species